AUUGAACGCUGGCGGCAGGCCUAACACAUGCAAGUCGAGCGGCAGAAGGGAGCUUGCUCCUGGUUUCAGCGGCGGACGGGUGAGUAAUGCCUGGGAAUCUGCCUGGCAGUGGUGGAUAACGUCCGGACGCGGGCGCUAAUACCGCAUACGCCCAGAGGACGAAAGUGGGGAAUCUUCGGACCUCCCGCUCUCGGACGAUCCUAGGACGGAAUCGCUAGUUGGUGGUGUAGAGGCCUACCAAGGCACCGAUCCGUAGCUGGUCUGAGAGGGUGAGCAGUCACACGGGAACUGAGACACGGUCCAGACCCCUACGGGAGGCAGCAGUGGGGAAUAUGGGACUAGGGGCGAAAGCCUGAUCCAGCCAUGCCGCGUGUGAAGAAGGUCUUCGGAUUGUAAAGCACUUUUAGUUGGGAAGAAGGGCAGUAAGUUAAUACCUUGCUGUUUUGACGGUACCAACAGAAUAAGCACCGGCUAACUUCGUG
rnacentral:rRNA from 1 species